rnacentral:ncRNA from 1 species
UGACUCAACACGGGAAAACUUACCAGGUCCAGACAUAGUAAGGAUUGACAGAUUGAGAGCUCUUUCUUGAUUCUAUGGGUGGUGGUGCAUGGACGUUCUUAGUUGGUGAAGCGAUUUGUCUGGUUAAUUCUGAUAACGAACGAGACCUCAGCUUGCUAACUAGCUACGCGGAGGUUCCCCUUUGCGGCCAGCUUCUUAGAGGGACUAUGGCCGUUUAGUCCAUGGAAGUUUGAGGCAAUAAUAGGUUUGUGAUGCCCUUAGAUGUUCUGGGCCGCACACGCGCUACACUGAUGCAGUCAACGAGUUUUUCUCCCUGGUUCGAGAGGAUAGGGAAAUCUUCUCAAAUUGCAUCGUGAUGGGGAUAGACCAUUGUAAAUAUUGGUCUUCAACGAGGAAUUCCUAGUAAGCGCGUGUCAUCAGCUUGUGUUGACUAUGUCCCUGCCCUUUGUACACACCGCCCGUCGCUCCUACCGAUUGAAUGAUCCAGUGAAGUGUUCGGAUCGCGUCAAUGAGGGUGGUUCGCCGCCGACGAUGUCAUGAGAAGUUCACUGAACCUUAUCAUUUAGAGGAAGGAGAAGUCGUAACAAGGUUACUGUAGGUGAACCUGCGGUAGGAUCAUUG